UAGGAGAAAGAAAAGUGAAAAAUAGGAAAGGAGCGUUAAGUAAGAUGAGUGAAUAUUAGGGUGCGAGAGGUUCCAGUUCGUCCGCCGCACUUUUCGGUUUUGGACGAUUUGGAAGCUGUCAGGCUUGACUUCACUUGGUAAAUGCUAUAGUCAAACACCAAUCAACAAGCUUCAGGUUUGGUUUCUAGUUUUACUCUUUUCAACUUGUUAAUUCGAUUAGGUAAAUAAUAAUAAUCAUCAGAAGUUGGAUGUGAUUGUGCUGCGAUGAAUGAAUUCAGUCUUUAGCUGCUUGCCACUGAAAAUUUAAUACAAUAAUUUGUUGUAAGUCGUAGUUGAAAAUUAAAAUAUAGAACCAGAGACAAUGGUACAGGUCCGGUUAUAAAGAAAAGCAGGUAAAGAAUCUAAAUUAGGAGAGGUGCUCACACAUUUAAUGCUCAAUAGUGCCAUGAAUUGAACUCCAUUGUCUCCAAAAACAGGGUAUCUGUACGGAGAAUGUUUAUACAUUAAGCCAGAGUGGUAAAUUAGUAAAUUCACUUUGAUACCUUGAUUAGAAAAACAGGUUGCCUUGACUUACAAUUGACUAUCCAGGGUAAUAUAGAAGUGCAGAGAAUUUGAUAUGCAUAUACAAUUCUGAAAUAAAAAUGACAUAGAUUUGACUUUGCCCUACUUCUCUCAAAGUGGGCAUUUGGUCUAGUGGUAUGAUUCUCGCUUAGGGUGCGAGAGGUCCCGAGUUCAAUUCUCGGAAUGCCCCUCUAUAUCUUUUUAUCUUUACCUGAAUUGUCUUGAUGUGUUUUUGUCAUUGAGUUGGCUCAAGAAAAACUCUGCAUUCUCAGACACGAUAGAACACUUGCAGUCACAUUUUUCUUCUUAAAGAUAAGGUGAAGAUGCAGUUCAAAAUCAUAGCAAUCAGUUCUAUUUGUAUUUUAUUUGACUGUUGAUAUGUCUUUUAACAGUUUAGCUUCAAGAUACCUAGAUUGUUAUGAUUUAGCUAUCUCCGCACAUGUUAGCAAGCAUCUGUUUUAAUGCUUAGAUUGUGGUAUCCGAUCUUAACUCUAAGUAUGUGCCUUGUGAACUAUAUAUUCUAUAAGCAAUUAAAAUAUUGCUGAAUCAACUGAAUAAGGAAGGAGGUUGUGAGUUGUUGUUGAUGAUGCAUGACACCCUUAGAUAUCAAAUUCUUAUAAACAAAUGUAUCAACUCACAUAUCGUUAAAUCCUUUGCACAUGUAAAUAGCAAGUAUCUUAUUUUGUACUUUACAAACACUCGGUGGAAUAUGUCAUUAACCUUCAUAUCAAAACAUGCGGUGUUGAAUUUCAGACCAUAUUACUUAGAAAAAUAUUAGAAUUGUGAAGUAAAAAUAAUUUUUCAACUUGUCUAAGAAAAACAAUACUAUCAACUUACUGAUUUCAUGUGUUGAAAGUCAAAUUUUAAAGUUAUAAGUUAAAAUUUUAACUUCAUAAUACACCCUAAAGUAACUUUCUCAAAUAAUUUAAUUACUUUUCGAUAUAAUUUGCAAACAACAAAUUUUGCAUGGUAAGACUUUUGGUCUUGUCAUCUGAUUCUCAGUUAGGGUGUGAGUUCCCAAGUAACCCGAGUUUGUUAAUCAUCAUCUUACAUACCAACUAGCAAUUAUUUCUUAAUUUUAAGCCUUUGAAGUCUAGAAGCUGACAAUCUUUACUUGUUAUGUGGUAUACUUAUAAAACAAUAAGCAUCAGGAGCUGAACGUGAAUGUCUUGGAAGAAUGAUUAAUAGUUUUAGCUGGAAGUUUUGCCCUAAUGAGUGACAACUUGCUACUGUGAAGGUAAUUAAAUUAUACGGCAAUUCAUUGGAAGUCCUUAAAUAUAUAAAAUUCAGAGUGGUAAGCUAACUUUCUUUCAUAUGUUGACUUGGAAAACAAGUUAUCCUGACCGAUAUUACCCGUCCAGGUAGCCAAAUCUUACAAUUUGCAAUCUUAUUGUAGAACUGAAGACAGUGAAUGGUAAAAUACUAGUUUAGCCCUAUGCCUUUCGAUGUGGGCAUUUGGUCUAGUGGUAUGAUUCUCGUUUUGGGUGCGAGAGGUCCCGAGUUCGAUUCUCGGAAUGCCCCCAUUUUUUUCAUUUUUAUUUGUACCUUUAUUAUUCUAAAGUAAAUGUUUGUUGUUUUUUUAUAAGCGCAUGCAUUUGUUAUUGAUUGGUCAUAAAGCAGGCACUGCAUUCUCAGCGUGUCAAUGAGAUUGUGUUCCUGUUUGAACUUUGCAUUCUACAAUGAAUUAAUAUUGUUGAAUCAACUAUAUUAUUUGAAAUUGAAUUAUAAAGGAGAUCAUGAAUUGUUGUUUUGUCCAUGAUGCGCAGCAUAGCACUAAAAAAUAUCAAUUUUAAAAAACUGCAUAAGCACAAUUUGCACAUUUAUUUAUUCUUGUCAGUUACACAUGCAGGAUUACCAAGUAUCUUAUUUUAUAUAUUUAACACAGAUGUGAUGUGUGAUAGCCUGCAUAUCAAAUCACAUGUUGUUUGAUAUUAUGCAAUCCAGUUUGGCAAAGAAAAAAACUAGUAUGACACAUUAAAUUACUUCAAUCAGUGUGGCAAAACUUCAAUUUUUUAUUUAAAAUGUUGUAUAAGCCAAUCAACAAUUGUUGCUAUGUUUAUGGAGUUCUUUUAUUAUAUUAAGAAGCAAGAAACUUCUCCAAACCAAUGGAUUUUGGCUCCCUUAAAUUGUGAAAUGAAAAACCAUUGAAAGUACAAGUAAUGUUUCAACUGUUGAAAAAGAGAAUGCAAUCAUUUUAGUGAUGUUAUGCAGUAAAAGUCAGAUGUAGAAGUUAGAAACAAUGUUUUAACACCAGAAUCUACCCUAAAACUAUUUUCAUCAAAUUGAUUGAUUAGUUUUUUAUAAUAUCCAAACAAUAGGCAUUGGGGUUUAUUUCUAAAUUUUAUCGUUUUGAAGCUUUUGGAAGUUGACAAGCUUAUCUUGAUAGUUUGUUUGUUUAAAUAAUAACAGACAUGAUUGCCUUGGGAUGAAUAAAGUGACGCGAAAACAGUUUCAGCUUGGAUUUUUCUGUACCAAGUAACAGCUUGCCACAGAAAACGGGAUAGAAUAAUGCGUCUGAAGUCAUUGUUGACCAAUAUGAAACUACAGGGGUAAGUUUGCAAACUCUCUUUGAUAUCUUAGUUAGAAAAAUGAGUUGCCUUUACUGUUAAUUGUCUAUCCAGGAAAACGUAUCUGCUCAUUAUUUAAGCAAUUUUACAAUUUUGCUACUCAUGAACUACUUUAAUAGAAGACUAGAGAUACAUUUGACGUGGGCGUUAUAAUUUUAAUAAGGGCAUUUGGUCUAGUGGUAUGAUUCUCGCUUUGGGUGCGAGAGGUCCCGAGUUCGAUUCUCGGAAUGCCCCCAUUUUUGUCAUAUUUAUUUGUGCCUUUAUUAUUCUAAAUUAUAUGUUUGCUGUUUUUUUAUAAGCGCAUGCAGUUGUUAUUGACUAGUCAUAAAGCAGGCACUGCAUUCUCAGCACGUCAAUGAGAUUGUGUUUCUGUUUGAACUUUGCAUUCUACAAUGAAGUAAUAUUGUUGAAUCAACUAUGUUAUUUGAAAUUGAAUUAUAAAGGCGAUCAUCAAUUGUUGUUUUGUCCAUGAUGCCUAGCAUAACACUAAAGUUUUGUCCAUGUUUUUUAAAAUUUUUUAGUCCCUGUAUUAUAUUUUUUUGUUUGUUGUCCUAGACUUGGAAUGACAUGUACAGCACUCUGAGCCCCCCUUUUUUCAUAUUUACCUGUGCUGCAAUAUUCCCAUGUGUGAGUUUGCAUUCUUUUUGAGUGUGUUCUUUACAUUUACUAGGCACAAAGACGUGUACUACAUUCCACCCUGUUUGCCAGAAGCAAUACUUGCAGUGCAGUUUCUUCCACCACAAGAACCGGAGAUGUGAACUUGUCUUAUCAAUCUGGCAGAAUUAGCCUUUACAGUUGACCAUCAACACAGAUUCCCAAGAGGCACGCAGAAGUUGCUUUGAUUUUUGUAUCUGUCCCAUUGUUUGCAAGCAUAUAUUACAACACUGAGAUAGUGGUAUGUAUUCUUAUAUUCGUUUCAAAAACAUUUGAACUCAGCAUUGUACAAUGAAGUGAUUACUAAAUCAACUAAAUUGUUUCAAAAUCUAUAAGGAAGGAGAUUGUGAAUUGUUAUUUUGUCCAUGAUGCCUAUCACCGGAAUAUACCAAUUUUGAAAAAGUAAACCAGUUCAAAUUGCAUAAUUAUUUGGUUUAAUCAUAGAGAUGGUCCUUAUUUUUUGUGACUUUUUUCUAAUAGGUCUC
rnacentral:lncRNA from 1 species